UCUUUUGAAUGGAUGAUGUGGCAUAUUCAUAAACAUAUCCUAGCAGUGGGACAGACUGAGGUGGUGUGAUUCAUUUCAAGGCUGAUAUGAGCUUGUGGAAGAUGCAUCAGUGAGACAGAAAUGAGAAGAAAGGAGGCAAAUUAGGUAUGUCAUAGUCGACUAUAACGCUGUAACGUUUAUCAUUAAUUAAUCACGGCUGCCAGGGCAUCAGAGGGGAAAAUAAUGUUACGCACUCAGGAGACACAUGUUUUCCAUUUCAGCACUCUAUCCAUCCUGAGGAAAUAAAAGAGAAGGAGGCCUGGGAGAGUCAUCUCAGCAGCGAGACAGCUGGAGGAAUAGACCCAUCCAUACUUGACGAUGAGGUGGAGCGUACUUCCGUGUUGGAUCGUCACAUUGAUUCCAUUAAUCAGCUCCAGUAUCUACCUAAAAUAGGAAUGCAAACGACAACCACUCAUUCCAUAUGAGCAGCUGCUGGCAACAACAUCUACUUGAAGUGGCAGUGGGCAGCUGGCCGGUCCCCAAGAGAAGGGGAGGACAGAGUGGCCCUCUCUGCUCGGUCACCUGAGCUCAUAAUGCUGAAAGCGCUCGCCGGCCCAAACAGACACUUCGGCUGAUGUGAGGAAAUGGCAGUGUGAUUAAUGUGGCCUAAAUUGAGCCCCCGUCCCAGUUAAACCAGUCGCUGGCCAUCAUCCUCAAACCACCACACUGUACCCAUGAAUCACACGCACCUGCCCACAUCAAGCAGCACAUACAUGACGUGGACCCAUGUGACAGCCUACAGCUUUACGUUUAUAAUGAAUGCGUCAGACAUGGGAGAGCACGAUAAAUAAAAAGCACAUUUCACAAGAUGAUUAAAGGAGG
ensembl:lncRNA